AUUGAACGCUGGCGGCGUGCUUAACACAUGCAAGUCGAUCGGUAACGCGGGGGCAACCCUGGCGACGAGAGGCGGACGGGUGAGGAACGCUUGGGAAUCUGCCUAUCAGCGGGGGACAACCCGGGGAAACUCGGGCUAAUACCGCAUACGCUCUACGGAGGAAAGCCGGGGACCGCAAGGCCUGGCACUGAUAGAUGAGCCGAAGUGGGAUUAGCUAGUUGGAGGGGUAACGGCCCACCAAGGCGACGAUCCGGAGCUGGUCUGAGAGGACGAUCAGCCACACUGGGACUGAGACACGGCCCAGACUCCUACGGGAGGCAGCAGUGGGGAAUAUUGGACAAUGGGGGAAACCCUGAUCCAGCGACGCCGCGUGGGUGAAGAAGGCCUGCGGGUUGUAAAGCCCUUUCGGUAGGGACGAAAGCUCUCGACCUAACACGUCGGGAGGUUGACUUAACCUACAAAAGAAGCACCGGCUAACUCUGUGCCAGCAGCCGCCGUAACAC
rnacentral:rRNA from 1 species